AGAUGCUGCAGAGCAUGAGGCUGCUGUCUCGCCAGCUUGCUUUCAUCUUAGAGAGAGGAGAGAGAUGGGAGAGAAGACCUCAUGUAGUCUUUCUUCCUUAGAGGCCGCCUCUUGCAGAAGGAAUCCUUCUGGUGCUGCUUUCCCAGCCCCAGCCUGCUGGACUUGAGGGCUCUGUCUUGUAGGAGGUUGAGACAGAAACACAGAUAGCUGGUGGAGUUCAGUCUGUGCUCUGGGCAAUCAACUGCUCCCACUCCUCACAGACAGUGUGGCUGGGACGAAUGCACAGCAUGAGCAGCCAGGGAGAUGUUGAGUGCUGUGCCAUGCAAGGGGCGUGAAAGCAGGAGCUGCUCAGCCGGGCAAUGCAGUUGUGUUGCAACACCCACAGGUAUGUGACAGGAGGGGUGCUCUGUCCUGGCUUGCUCCAGUGGAGGAAAUGCUCUGGAGAGGUGGUGGCAGUUUCUGCAGGACAGGCCUCAAUCUGUGCUGAGUAGCACAUGGGAAGGAGCCUCCUGGAGCACAGCACAUGGAAACCCCAGGACACAGAACAGAAAGGGAAGUUUAGGCGGGUCUGGUCGGGAAGAGGGUGUGAGCAGUGGCAGAAAAAGCUGCUACAUCUGGUGGUGGAGGUGCUGCGCUGUGACUGCGCUGGUAAAAACCCAUCAGGCUCCCAGCAUUGUGAUGUGCCCUCAGAGUCUUCUCUCAUGGAUGCUGUCACACGUGGCCACAAUUCAGGCCAUUCUAAUGGCAGUGUUACUUCUCACCUUGUCUCUCCACUUGCUGCUGUAUAGGCUUUCUCCAAGCAGAGACCAGCUGACUUUAUCUUCCCAGAUUUUUCUUAAGAUCUCUCCCAUUCUAUCUUUUAUCCCCGACCACAAGCAGCACUUGGAACAAUUAACACCUUAUGCUCCUAACAUCUUAUGGUUUACAAGGCAGCUGGUUACUAGGGCAACAGCUGUACUUCUUUUCUUUUAGUGUAUUGACUGAAAAUCAACAUUUUAUAUUAAAGGAAAAGAAAAAUAAUAUUCUCUCUAGCCACAGUGAGUUACAACAUCAUCUCUCCUGUAAUCAAGAUAUUGCUGAAUUAUGGUGCUAUAAACAAACACUUCUGAUAUAACCACAAACACUGUGGGACAUGUAACACAUUGGCAGUAUAUUUCAGGUGACAAACUCAUUUAUUGUCGGGAGUGGAAGGAGAAAAACACCUUUCCAGAAGCUGCUACAAGGAAUUACUGCAAAGAAUGACCAGAGCUUAAGGAUACAGAAGCAAAGUAAUUCUACCAACCUGACCGGAAUAAAGCGCUUCAAAGUAUGAAGAAGAUCAGAGCAGUACCAGUAGCUCAGAAGGUGGCUGCUGGGUCACUUUGGUCAGCAGGAUUGGAAGAGAGCCAUCAUCUGCUUCCUCGGUGGUCUGCCAGCCCUUGUGUUUGGAAAGGCAAAUCUGAAAGGAAGCUCUUGAGCACUCUACUGUGCAAGUUCCUCAAAUGAUGGCUGUGUUUCUCCCCCUCAUUCUACACGUUUCCAAAUAAUUUUCACGCUGGGAAUAAAUCUGAGUGCAUAACAAUCAUAUUCAGCAUAUGAUAACCAGAGACAAAUGUAUACAUUCAAGCAGCCACAUGGAAAACAAAUGAGCUGACAGGACAGAAAGAGCACAAGACGACCCAGAGACCACAGUUACCAUGUCCACAGUCGCUUGGUGUUUACAAAGUUUGGGAUAGUUCCUCUUCAAAAAGAAGAUACGUGGAAGCAGAUGGUCCUGUGGUAGUUGAAAUGGAAGGAGAUGCCUGAAGAAAGCGUGUUGUGGCAAGAAGGAUGUGUUAGAUGAAGGAGCAGAGAUGAGCUGCAAAUGUUAAAGAGGAAACAUUCUCACUGGCUGAGAUCCCAGCGAGCAAUUACAAAUAUUUUACUAUAGUUACAGGACUUGGAAUUCAGCCUCAGGCUGUAGGCAUCAGAAAAUCCAUGCAUGGAAAUCCCACAUGUUGUAAAACUUGGAGGGUUUCACAUGGAGGGAUUCCUCCUCAUCUUUACUGAAGCCAAACUCUUGAUUAAAACGACUUUCAUGGCUUUCCAAAACCUACAUCAGCUGGCAGAAAGAAAUGUGGGAACUCAAGUAUCAGCACUGGAAAAUAAAGGCUGAUGGGGUGAAAUAGCACAUCUCCAAGCAUGUGUGCUGCAGACUAGAGGAACCUUCUGGCUAUUCCUAGUGAUGCUGUUGAAUCUGAGCCCAAGAAGUUCCUCAGUAAGGAAACUGCCUUGACAAUGCACUGUGUAUUUGACCUGCCCCUCCAGAAUGGAAACCAAGUAACUGUUUUAUUCUUUCUGGAAAUUACUGUAUGUUUGGGAAGCUUUUCAGACACAGUAGCUCAUUUUAAGGCUAUCAUGGCAUCAAGGGCCCUAGUCAUUUUUCUGUGAGUGAUGUGCUCCUGAUUCACUGAAAUGCUUUGAAAUUUCCAUUUGCGAAUUCAGACCAGCAUAUUCCUAGCUAUUAACAGGUGAUGCUACUCAUGAUCAAGAUAGCCAACACAACAAGAACAAUGUGCUCUGAUCAAUAUUGGACAAACCCAGUAAGGAUGUGAUAUCAGUUCAAAUCAACUGUUUGGCUGAAAUCAUCCCAAGUGCUGAACAAAUGCCUAGUGGUGCUAACAAGAGGUCAAGUGCAAGUUAGUGUCAGGCUAGCUUUCUAACUCAAGACAAUCUGAAUUCAGACUGGGAAACUUGUUAAAGGUCUUGAGGACUAAUCUUUUAUACACAGUUGUCCUCCAGGAUCACUCUGAGGCAUUCAUGGUCUCACUAAUGGGAACAAGAUGGUGGAAGUACACUGUGAGGAUGGCUGGAUGAGCUGAUCAGUGGUGGUGAGGAUGCAGUUUCCUUUCUACACCCAAAAUCACCAAAUCACUCUGGUUCUUUUCAGCACUUCUGAUUUCUGAACAGCUUAGACACAUGCUGGGCCUAGAUUUGCUAGUGAUCUGACACAACUGGAGCAGGACUGAGCUGGGAGAAGGCUGACCCCACCAAGCUGUUGCUUGUGUUCAGAUGAGAUCUGGCUGUUGGCUCAAAAAUAGGUGAACUUACUCUAAACCGUCAGCAAUUCUAGAGAGCAGAAGAAGGCAUUUCAUUUGUAAUGUGGAUGACUUUCCUGAAUUUGAAGUGUAUUUAUGCAUUCUGUUGAUUUGUCGGAAGACUCCUUGGUUUCCUCCAGAUAUUUUCACAGCGUCCUCCCUGUUUCCAUCAUCUCUAGCUGAAGAGAUGUCAUUCCAUCUUGGCAGGUAACGACGAGGCCUCAGCUGUUUGCAUCUCUGCUGUUUUCUGGACAGCACCAACAUGAUAUACACGGCCCAGAAGCUUUCAGUGUUUGGCAAUUCCAGCUGGGACAGGACUUUGUGGUCAAUCUUCUCAGCAACAGGCUGGUGCAAGUAUUGGAAGCUGUCUGUUUGUUACGGGACGUUGAACCAAAUUUUAUGCCUUGGUCCUUAUAUUCAAAAUAUUGCCUGGCCUGGGUCCCUGCUGUGGGAUGCAGGGUAUAGCUGACAGUUGCUUAAACACAUAGCAUGUUUUUGCAAAAUAAUUCUGCCUGUAGCAAGAAUGGUGGGGACCAGGGCAGAACUUUCUGAAGGGAAGAUACAAGACUAUGAGUUGAGCUCUCCUAGCUCUGUGGCAAACGCUGCUUUCUGUGCCAAGAGCCAGGCAGCCUGAAGUUUGUUCUCAUGGUUUUUUUCUCCUUCUUCCUAUAGCAUAAAUGUACAGUAGUCUGUAAUAUGAAACAAAGAAAGAAAAAGUCCCUAAAAUUUGCCAAACCCAUACUUCUAAAAAGUGUUUCCCUGGUCCUGGGUGAACCCUUCUGCACCCUCCUUUGCCUCGGCUCUGGUA